GAAAUGCGAUAAGUAGUGUGAAUUGCAGAAUUCAGUGAAUCAUCGAAUCUUUGAACGCACAUUGCGCCCUUUGGUAUUCCUUAGGGCAUGCCUGUUCGAGCGUCAUCUAAACCUUCAAGCCCUGCUUGGUGUUGGGUGCCUGUCGCGCCUCCGCGCGCGGACUCACCUCAAAUCCAUUGGCGGCCCCCGCGUCGGCCACGAGCGCAGAAGAAACGCGAACUCGUGAGCCCGUCCGGGCGGCUCCCAGAAGCUACACCCACCCAGUUUGACCUCGGAUCAGGUAGGGAUACCCGCUGAACUUAAGC
rnacentral:misc_RNA from 1 species